UUAGAGUUUGAUCCUGGCUCAGGACGAACGCUGGCGGCAUGCCUAAUACAUGCAAGUCGAACGCUGAAGCACUCUGCUUGCAGAGUGCGGAUGAGUGGCGAACGGGUGAGUAACACGUGGGCAACCUGCCUCAUAGAGGGGAAUAGCCUUCCGAAAGGGAGAUUAAUACCGCAUAAGAUUGUAGUACCGCAUGGUACAGCAAUUAAAGGAGCAAUCCGCUAUGAGAUGGGCCCGCGGCGCAUUAGCUAGUUGGUGAGGUAACGGCUCACCAAGGCGACGAUGCGUAGCCGACCUGAGAGGGUGAUCGGCCACAUUGGGACUGAGACACGGCCCAGACUCCUACGGGAGGCAGCAGUGGGGAAUAUUGCACAAUGGGGGAAACCCUGAUGCAGCAACGCCGCGUGAGUGAUGACGGCCUUCGGGUUGUAAAGCUCUGUCUUCAGGAACGAUAAUGACGGUACCCUGAGGAAGGAAGCCACGGCUAACUACGUGCCAGCAGCCGCGGGUAAUACGUAGGGUGGCGAGCGUUGUCCCGGAUUUACUGGGGCGAAAGGGAGCGUAGGCGGAUUUUUAAGUGAAAUGUGAAAAACUCGGGGCUUAACCUGAGGGGUUGCUUUUUAAACUGGAAAGUCAAAAGUGGAGGGAAAGGAAAAGGGAAUUCCUAAUGGUGACGGGGAAAAGGCUAAAAAAUUAAGAAAAAACACCGUUGGCGAAAGGCCCUUUCUUCGGGAUUGUAAAUUGAACCCGGAGGGCCGAAAGCGGUGGGGGGAAAAAAAAAGGGAU
rnacentral:rRNA from 1 species